UACGAAGGGGCUAGCGUUGCUCGGAAUCACUGGGCGUAAAGCGCACGUAGGCGGAUUGCUAAGUCAGGGUGAAAUCCUGGAGCUCAACUCCAGAACUGCCUUUGAUACUGGCAACCUUGAGUCCGGAGAGGUGAGUGGAACUGCGAGUGUAGAGGUGAAAUUCGUAGAUAUUCGCAAAGAACACCAAGUGGCGAAGGCGGCUCACUGGCC
rnacentral:rRNA from 1 species